rnacentral:lncRNA from 1 species
GCCGGGAGCGCGCGGUGGACUCGGCGGCGGCGAGUAGUUAGUUAGUUGUUGUUAGUCAGUGUCAGUUGCUCGGCGGCGGCACCGGCGGUCACCAGGAAGGGUACGGGACGGUCGGCGAAGGUGGUCACCGCGGCGGCGUGUAAGCCCCUCAGGUGUCUGCCUAAACUUGAACUUAUGCUAUAAAUAUUUUUCUGUGGAUUUUUCUGAAAACCCAAGGGAGAGAAGUAAUUGAAGAAACAUGAAGUAAUGGAACUAUUCAUGAUGGA